CGGGGAGGCGCGUGCCUGUUGUUUCUUCGUCCACCACACUGGUUGUAUUGGAUCAGAUAAUAUUUGAUUACCGAGCAGGUGCUAGUGUUUAUUUGGUAGAAGAAUUCGAUGGCUGUAUCUGGAACAGAUUAUGAAGAAGAACAGGCAAAGUAGUGGACAAUCUAAGAGAAAAUCAACAAAAGUGGCUGAUAGCAAGGAAUCUGAGAAAACCGAUAAAGUUGGUGUCAAACCUGACUCGUUGGAUGAUGAAGAUCAAGGCUUUGGAGGAUGGCUGAGGUCUUCCGACGGCAUUGAGACCAUGAAACUUUUCGUCAUAGCGAACACCAUUGUAAUGCUUACGACUAUCGUCUAUCCACACGUUCAAACCGCAAUCGAGAUCAUAUCAGAGAUGAUAUAUGACCCCGACACUUUAUACUGACUGCUGGAUCCGACAAUAUAUCAAUACCGCCUUUGUCCUGUAUUCACGAAGGUCCAUUUUUAUUCACUCCAGUAACACUGAGAGCCGGUGAACUAAUAUAAUAUCUUGCUGGUGACAGUCUCAACUAUUUUAUGAGCACUAAAAGUAGGUUUUGCGAAUGUAGAUAUUUGGGACUACUUGUUGAUAGAAUCUUGAAUGUCGUUACAAGUUUAUAAGAUCAAAGUCUUCACACUUUAGAGUAAAUUGAACUUUAUUUAAACGAAAUACGUGAGUUUAAAAUAAAGUUUUAACAAUGUUAGGCUUAUUCUUUCGUCUGAUUUUCUCAAUAGGCAUUAUUGUAUGGUAUUCGGCUAGUGUUUGGAAUAUGAUAACUGAUUAUUUUAACAAAGAAUUUCAAAGGCUUUUGUUAAAUAACACCGAUAUGAUAGAGGACGAUGACAUUGUAAUGUAAUUUUUAUUUUUAUAUUAAAUGUGUGACUAAUA